rnacentral:rRNA from 1 species
CCUACGGGAUGCAGCAGUGAGGAAUAUUGGUCAAUGGGCGAGAGCCUGAACCAGCCAAGUAGCGUGCGGGAUGAAGGCCCUUGUGGUCGUAAACCGCUUUUAUCAGUGAAUAAAGUGCAUCACGUGUGGUGUCAUUGCAGGUAGCUGAAGAAAAAGGACCGGCUAAUUCCGUGCCAGCAGCCGCGGUAAUACGGAAGGUCCGGGCGUUAUCCGGAAUUAUUGGGUUUAACGGGAGCGCAGGCGGGAGUAUAAGUCAGCUGUUAAAUAUCAGGGCCCAACUCUGGUAUGCAGUUGAAAAUAUAUUUCUUGAGUACGCACAGGGAUGGCGGAAUUCAGGGUGUAGCGGUGAAAUGCUUAGAUAUCCUGAAGAACUCCGAUCGCGAAGGCAGCCAUCCGGAGCGUAACUGACGCUGAGGCUCGAAGGUGCGGGUAUCGAACAGGAUUAGAUACCCCAGUAGUC